GUAACGGCUAAGUGUAACCGUGACCACCCAGUAACAAUCAAUUAAGCUGCGGUUAACCGCAGCUACUGGGUGGUCAAUUGCCGGCACACGCUCGUUAAGCCGCGGUUAACCGCGGCUUCAGGGAGGUACUCCAGCUUCUGGGUGGCCAAUUAAGGUCGCCGGCCGGCUUCCCAGGGCUCUGGGGAGGCUGAAAAGAAACUGUUUGUUCGGUAGAUAGAAUCUACC